AAAUCACUAUCUCACUUUAGAGUAAUUCAAAUGAGGUACAGCCCGUUUGAAAUAGGAUACAACCUUAACUAACGGGUAACAUUUAUCUACACUCUCAAGUAGGCCUAAAAGCAGCCACCUCUUAAAAAGCGUCAAAGCUUAAUUGCGUUUACAUCAAUUUAAAAACCCCUAUCGACCCCUUUAAUUGUAUUGAGAAUUUCUAUAUCAUAUAGAACCUUUUAUGCUAAAAUUAGUAACAAGAGAAAACCCUCUCCUAAUGCAAACACAAGCCAGUAAAGAACCUCUCACUGGCAACUAACAGACCUAAACAAGAGUAGCAACAUCACUAGAAAACCCUACUUCUAACAACUGUUAACCUAACACCAGAGCAUUUCAAGAAAGAUUAAAAGAAAAAGAAGGAACUCGGCAAACAUUAGUCCCGCCUGUUUACCAAAAACAUCGCCUCUUGUUACUAUAAGAGGUCAAGCCUGCCCAGUGACCUUGUUCAACGGCCGCGGUAUCCUAACCGUGCGAAGGUAGCGUAAUCACUUGUUUUCUAAAUAAAGACCAGUAUGAAAGGCAUCACGAGGACUAAACUGUCUCCUCUUUCCAAUCAGUGAACUUAAUCUCCCCGUGAAGAAGCGGGGAUUAUUCUAUAAG
rnacentral:rRNA from 1 species